rnacentral:misc_RNA from 1 species
AGGCGUAUGUAUAUGUUGCUGGAAAGCCGCUAGCAAAGACAGGCGUCGAGUAUCAUCAGUGCUGCCGGCGUGAAAAAUGAGGAUAAUAAGCCUCUCAAGGGAAUAUAUUAGCAGGCAUGAACGAGGCUGUUGAAGCAUUUGUUGUCUUCAUGCAUGCUUCGGUAUCUGGGCGAAUUCUGCCAGAACACUUCAACUUCACGUUUGGCAAGGUCCCAAACUUCAUUUGUGUCAAUUCGGCAAACAGAGAAUUUGAGACAUGUUUGCGGCUGGUAGAAAUGUUCAGUCACUCGGGUGACUGGAUAUUGGAUGUUAAUUUACCCGAAGCUGGCGGUGUUGCAGCAGUCACGAUCAAACGCAAUUGCCUCAUUCUGGUAAAAACAGAAGAGGAGGAACGAGAGGCCAGGCGAAAGUUGAAAGAACUUUAGAACCUAUAAAUCUAUAUAUAUAUUAUAUAUCUUCAUUGUGUGCUGGGUAUUCCCGGCUCUACGUGCGAAAACAUUC